rnacentral:rRNA from 1 species
UGCUUUGAUGAAGUUUUAGUGACUGAGUGGCGGACGGGUGAGUAACGCGUGGGUAACCUGCCUCAUACAGGGGGAUAACGAUUGGAAACGAUUGCUAAUACCGCAUAAGCGCACAGUACCACAUGGUGCAGUGUGAAAAACUCCGGUGGUAUGAGAUGGACCCGCGUCUGAUUAGCUAGUUGGUGAGGUAACGGCCCACCAAGGCAACGAUCAGUAGCCGACCUGAGAGGGUGACCGGCCACAUUGGGACUGAGACACGGCCCAGACUCC